CUCUUCCAGUCAGACGGGGAGUGUGGGGAAAUGAGAAAUUAUUGUAGAGUGCUGCAGGUGUAGCAGUGUCUUUUCUUUCUGACUGCAACAGCUGUGUUUUGUUUCUAAUGGCUGUACUGUUAGUCAUGUUUGGUCUCAUUAUAAGGAGGAGGAAACAGUUUACAUCAAAGAAGCAGCCCACAGAAAAGACAUCUGCAGUCUCUGUCACAGAGGAGAUCUAUGAGAACCUGAGAAAAUCACCAGAGUCUGAGGAAAACCUUACCACAAAUGUGAUAUAUGUAGAUUUAAGGCUUCUUUCCUCAACCUCAGACAGGUAAUGAUAAAAAUAAAUAAAUAAAUAAAUAAAUAAAUAAAUGUCA
ensembl:lncRNA